rnacentral:pre_miRNA from 1 species
UUAGUACCCCCUCCGUCCGGAAAUACUUGUCCUAGAAAUGAAUGUAUUUAGACUUAUUUUAGUUAUAGAUACAUCUAUUUUAUUCAUUUCUAGGACAAGUAUUUCCGGACGGAGGGAGUAUUUA